rnacentral:lncRNA from 1 species
AUGAGCAGGACCUUUGAGGUACUGACCAAGAGACGGUGUCCAUCAGCAUCCGGGCCUCCCUGCAGCAGACCCAGGCUGUCCCUCUUUUGAUGGCUCAUCAGUACCUCCGCGGAAGUGUAGAAACCCAGGUGACCAUCGCGACGGCCAUCCUCGCGGGCGUCUACGCGCUGAUCAUAUUUGAAUCGUGCACAGAACUCUGGCGGCCAUGCUGGGUUCCCUUGCAGCACUGGCAGCACUGGCUGUGAUUGGCGAAGACCCAGCCUGACCCAUGUGGUGGAGUGGAUUGAUUUUGAGACGCUGGCCCUGCUGUUUGGCAUAUGAUCUUAGUAGCCAUAUUUUCAGAAACGGGAUUUUUCGAUUAUUGUGCUGUAAAGGUAGGUAUGAUGUUGCA